UUGAAACACAUGUUCCCGUACGAUCACCGAAUUUAAGCAACGUGGAACCUGGUCAAUACCUAUAUGGGUGACCGCUUGGGAAUACCAGAUGUUGUAAGC